CCGUGGGAGGCCGCCUUUCCGCAUCACCGUCUCCUGUGCGACAUGGCAGCCUUUUGCUUGGACCUGGUCUCCCAUGGCUGUUUCUUCCUUUUCACCUGUGCCCUUGGUCUCCGUACUGAAUCACCAUGGAGACGAAGCCCUCACACAAAGUCCUAUCUGUGAUGGUAUCACCACCUGCUGGCUGCAUGGAUGAACUGGGAAGCCAGAACAGAGGGCACAUUUGGCCUUUGGAUGACAUGAGGAAGAAGUGAUACCAGCAGACAUCUGUGUCUGGCAGAACUUGGAGCUCACGGGCAGACCCACGCAAGCAUGUGCAGUCAGGAUCACUGUGGCCCAGGCACCUGCCAUUCUAGAUGCAAUGAGGAGGGAAGAAGACGGACAGGGUCUCAGCAGAGUUCCUUGACCGUGACCUUUGCCCUGUUCAAGGCUGAAACCACGGCAAGCUCCUGGCCUGGGUCCAGCCUCCCUGGAUCACCACAGCAGGGCAGACUUGCUGGAAACUUGACUUUAAAGCAUGCUUUUCUUUUCAUUUAGUUUUUUUCUGAGACAGGACUGCGUGCAUCCCAUUC